rnacentral:rRNA from 1 species
GAAGCUGCGGCAGCGACACUAUGUGUUGUUGGGUAGGGGAGCGUUCUGUAAGCCUGUGAAGGUGUGUCGUGAGGCAUGCUGGAGGUAUCAGAAGUGCGAAUGCUGACAUAAGUAACGAUAAAGCGGGUGAAAAGCCCGCUCGCCGGAAGACCAAGGGUUCCUGUCCAACGUUAAUCGGGGCAGGGUGAGUCGACCCCUAAGGCGAGGCCGAAAGGCGUAGUCGAUGGGAAACGGGUUAAUAUUCCCGUACUUGGUGUUACUGCGAAGGGGGGACGGAGAAGGCUAUGUUGGCCGGGCGACGGUUGUCCCGGUUUAAGCGUGUAGGUGUGUGUUCCAGGUAAAUCCGGUUCACUUUAACACUGAGGCGUGAUGACGAGGCACUACGGUGCUGAAGCAACAAAUGCCCUGCUUCCAGGAAAAGCCUCUAAGCAUCAGGUAACAUCAAAUCGUACCCCAAACCGACACAGGUGGUCAGGUAGAGAAUACCAAGGCGCUUGAGAGAACUCGGGUGAAGGAACUAGGCAAAAUGGUGCCGUAACUUCGGGAGAAGGCACGCUGACACGUAGGUGAAGUGAUUUACUCAUGGAGCUGAAGUCAGUCGAAGAUACCAGCUGGCUGCAACUGUUUAUUAAAAACACAGCACUGUGCAAACACGAAAGUGGACGUAUACGGUGUGACGCCUGCCCGGUGCCGGAAGGUUAAUUGAUGGGGUCAGCGCAAGCGAAGCUCCUGAUCGAAGCCCCGGUAAACGGCGGCCGUAACUAUAACGGUCCUAAGGUAGCGAAAUUCCUUGUCGGGUAAGUUCCGACCUGCACGAAUGGCGUAAUGAUGGCCAGGCUGUCUCCACCCGAGACUCAGUGAAAUUGAACUCGCUGUGAAGAUGCAGUGUACCCGCGGCAAGACGGAAAGACCCCGUGAACCUUUACUAUAGCUUGACACUGAACAUUGAGCCUUGAUGUGUAG